rnacentral:rRNA from 1 species
GAUGAACGCUGGCGGCGUGCUUAACACAUGCAAGUCGAACGAGAAAUGAUAUUACGAUCUCUUCGGAGUGACGAUUUUAUUUCGAGUGGCGGACGGGUGAGUAACGCGUGAGCAACCUGCCCUGUACCGGGGGAUACCAGUUGGAAACGACUGUUAAUACCGCAUAAGCGCACGAUAAGACAUCUUGUUGUGUGAAAAACUCCGGUGGUAUAGGAUGGGCUCGCGUAUGAUUAGCCAGUUGGCGGGGUAAAGGCCCACCAAAGCGACGAUCAUUAGCCGACCUGAGAGGGCGACCGGCCACAUUGGGACUGAGACACGGCCCAAACUCCUACGGGAGGCAGCAGUGGGGAAUAUUGCACAAUGGGCGAAAGCCUGAUGCAGCGACGCCGCGUGAGUGAGGAAGUAUUUCGGUAUGUAAAGCUCUAUCAGCAGGGAAGAAAGAAAUGACGGUACCUGAGUAAGAAGCUCCGGCUAAAUACGUGCCAGCAGCCGCGGUAAUACGUAUGGAGCAAGCGUUAUCCGGAUUUACUGGGUGUAAAGGGAGCGUAGGCGGCAGAGCAAGUCUGAUGUGAAAGCCCGGGGCUCAACCCCGGUAGUGCAUUGGAAACUGUUCAGCUCGAGUGUCGGAGGGGUAAGCGGAAUUCCUGGUGUAGCGGUGAAAUGCGUAGAUAUCACGAAGAACACCGGAGGCGAAGGCGGCUUACUGGACGAUUACUGACGCUGAGGCUCGAAAGCGUGGGGAGCGAACAGG